AUUGAACGCUGGCGGCAUGCCUUACACAUGCAAGUCGAACGGUAACAGGGUGCUUGCACCGCUGACGAGUGGCGAACGGGUGAGUAAUGCGUCGGAACGUGCCGAGUAGUGGGGGAUAACGCAGCGAAAGUUGUGCUAAUACCGCAUACGUACUGAGGUAGAAAGUGGGGGACCUUCGGGCCUCACGCUAUUCGAGCGGCCGACGUCUGAUUAGCUAGUAGGUGAGGUAAAGGCUCACCUAGGCGACGAUCAGUAGCGGGUCUGAGAGGAUGAUCCGCCACACUGGGACUGAGACACGGACCAGACUCCUACGGGAGGCAGCAGUGGGGAAUUUUGGACAAUGGGCGAAAGCCUGAUCAGCCAUGCCGCGUGUCUGAAGAAGGCCUUCGGGUUGUAAAGGACUUUUGUCAGGGAGGAAAUCCCUAGUGCUAAUAACACUGGGGGAUGACAGUACCUGAAGAAUAAGCACCGGCUAACUACGUGCCAGCCGCCGCAGUAA
rnacentral:rRNA from 1 species